AUGUGGGUGGCUCAAUGGUUGAGCGUCUGACUUCAGCUCAGGUCAUGAUCCCAGGAUCGAGUCCCACAUC
rnacentral:tRNA from 1 species